GACGAACCGUGCGAACGUUAUUCGGAAUCACUGGGCUUAAAGCGCGUGUAGGCGGGACGGCACGUCGGUCGCUGAAAUCCCCCGGCUCAACCGGGGAACGGGCGCCGAUACGACCGGCCUGGAGGGGCGUAGGGGGACCUGGAACUUCCGGUGGAGCGGUGAAAUGCGUUGAGAUCGGAAGGAACGCCCGUGGCGAAAGCGAGGUCCUGGACGCCUACUGACGCGUGAGACGCGAAAGCCAGGGGAGCGAACGGG
rnacentral:rRNA from 1 species